rnacentral:lncRNA from 1 species
AGUUUGCUUGUGGUACUAAAUAACGUAACUCGUUUUUCUUGAAAAGAAAGUGAAACCCCCCUUUAGUACAAUCUCUUCUCUCCGAAACACAAUCGAUUCCUCUCUAAAAUCCCCCCUUUCAAAAUUUUUCUCUUUUCGGUUUUUAUAACCGAUUACAAUCACCAUAAAAACUCCCAUUCCUCUGUUGUUGCUGCGGUUUUAUAACCGACACACCCAUACCCUGCAAACACAAACAACAAAAACAGCAGCAACAACAGAGGAAUGAGAGUUUUUAUGGUGAUUGUAAUCGGUUAUAAAAACCGAAAAGAGAAAUUUUGAAAAGGGGGAUUUUAGAGAGGAAUCGAUUGUAUUUCGGAGAGAAGAGAUUGUACUAAAGGGGGGUUUUUCACUUUCUUUUCAAGAAAAACGAGUUACGUUUUUUAGUACCACAAGCAAACUAAAAUCAAUAAAGAUCAGCCAAGAAUACUCCAAAGGUGAUUUUUUUUGUUUUUUUAUUCUGUUAUUCUGUUUCUAUUUCGACACAAAUACGAUGUAUAGAGAGAACGAGAGA